GCCUGGGUGGCUCGGUCGGUUAAGCGUCUGACUUUGGCUCAGGUUAUGAUCUCGCGGUCCGUGGGUUCAAGCCCCUCAUCAGGCU
rnacentral:tRNA from 1 species